GGCGCUCUUCGAUCCUCCCAUCUCUGCUUUACUUCUCCGCCUCAGACUUUUCUCCAAUUCCUUUUGGUCCAUCGUUUAUCGAUAAUUCUCUCUCUCUCUGUUCUACCUAUGGAGCGUGAUGAUAUGCUGAUGUCGCCCCAGUCUUACGAUCCGUUCACCUGGUGAAUGGACGAUGCCUAUCAUUUAGGCAAAGAUUACUCCAACGCCCCAAAUACCAGUUCAAUGCUCAUUUUGCGUACUUGGACCAACCUUUACGGUGGGGCCAAUCCAAAUCUUUUUGAAAAGAAGAAUUAGCGGGCAUGGUUAAUUUAUAAAUGCUUUCAUGUGUUAAAAUAAUUACCAUAUCGAUGGUCCUAUUGGCGGCACGCUAAAGGAUUCAGGCAUUCAACUUUUGAAUUUAUCGAGAUGAAGGUGGCUGUCGUGGUGCACAGUCGGGUUCAGUUGUAAUGCGGCGGACGUGUGACCGAAUAGGUGGCAUGCGAGCAUCGUCCAAACUCGACGACUUAUUCGGCGGCGGUGGAGCCACGUCCCUACGAUCGUCCCAACCAUACACAACAGUGUUGAGUGCAGCCGGCACGGUAGCACACGGCACCAUGUAGACGGUGUGAGUUAUGGGGCCAAUCACGAUGAUAGCUAUGCUGGAGUUUGGACCAUCCAGACGGCAGCAGCACCGAUCAUAGGACGGCACUGCUUGAGAGGAAGAUCGAAUUUGUAAUUGAAAAAAAAAUUAUUUAUAUUAAUUUGUAUGGACUUAGAUUAUCUUUUGAAUGGGUUCUAAUUAUUC